GCAGGAUCCACAAAGAUGGCCUUGAAUAAUACAUUUUAUCUGCUACCGAGACUAUGGAUUUCCUAGUCACACACGUCAUCGUUUCACGCUGUCAUCUCAGAUGAUAUACUACGAACACAAUCAUGACGAGAAGAGAAAACGGAGGCCCAAGAAGCUGCGCUUCUUCUUCGUACUCGCCCAGCAGUGAAACCAAGCCUAGAAGCAUCUGCAGCGCAGCCUUUCUGCGCAGCUGGCCCCUUGGAAGGCUCUGUCCGUCUUUAAUGUGCCAAAGCGUACCUCACUCUUUCUGAAAAGUUCAGUAUGGUAAGCCGACUUCGACAGUUGGAAUGGAAGGGAAAAGGAAGGUGGUUACGCCACAGAAGAGGUAGUGGUUGUGGUGUUGAGCAUGGUACCCAUCAGAUUUCCUAAGGCUGCAACACAGCGGGCCUAUUGGAUCCACCAGAAAAACCAAAGAUUCUUCCACAAGUCGGACGCGCACGCCACCUGGUGUACACUGGAAGUUGUUUCAAAGAGCAUAAUUCCAUAAAUCUUCAAAUUUCCACCCAAGACCCCUUUCUGCGCUCCUAAAGUCACAGUCCCUGUUCGUCUCUGAAGAUCCACGGUCUCUUUAUAGUUAGGAAUCCGUCCAUUUGGGACACUUUGCUUAUGAUCAGUGUUGUUUUAGUCUUUCUGUGAUAUAAUUAAAAAUGUUUUCUUCCAUGAUGACCUUUUAAAGUUUCUAAAUAGCUUUUUCUUUCUGCCUCCCCUUCACCCACAACCAGUGAAAUGUUGCUUUCGCAGGGUUUUUCUUAUUUGGGCUCUUUGAAUCUUUUGUUUGAAGACAGAGUUCCAUGGCAACAAAAGGCUCCUCCCAGUUCCAAGAUUACAAAAUUCCCCUAAACGAUCCUGCUUUUGGUGAACGCCUCGGACUACUUUACUACGGGAAAGAGUUGGAUGGAACUUGCCUGGACGUGUUUAAUUACCGCGUUGUGAAUCACUGCUUUAAGAAUCGCUGUAUCUCCGCUUCUGCCUUUAAGACAUAUUUAUUCUGAGCCAAGCUGAUGCGUUCCUGCUGGGUCCUGCUUUGCUUUCUUGUCCCUAAGCGGGUUGGGGAGUGAGAACAGAAGCUGCCUUUGUUUUUAGCCUGUUAUUUCCAAGGUCAAGGGAGGGAGAACUCCUGGAGGGUGCCGGACUUCAUGAGUUUCCGACCUUAGUGACCUAAGGACUUUCCAGUAUUUCUUCAAAGGAUCCCUGUUUUGUAACAACAACCACACCCUGACUAAAGAACUGCCCUGUGACCUCCCGCUGAUGAGAAGCGUCGUUUAAGUGUAGUUCAAUACACUCACUCCAUCAGCCCAUGUACAGAAAUACAAUACAAAUAAAAUACAAAGACACAAUACAAUACAAAGAAAA